CCUACGGGAGGCAGCAGUGAGGAAUAUUGGUCAAUGGACGCAAGUCUGAACCAGCCAUGCCGCGUGCAGGAUGACGGCUCUAUGAGUUGUAAACUGCUUUUGUACGAGGGUAAACCUGGCUACGUGUAUUCGGCUGAAAGUACUGUACGAAUAAGGAUCGGCUAACUCCGUGCCAGCAGCCGCGGUAAUACGGAGGAUCCCAGCGUUAUCCGGAUUUAUUGGGUUUAAAGGGUGCGUAGGCGGAUUGAUAAGUUAGAGGUGAAAUGUCCGAGCUUAACUCGGGAACUGCCUCUAAUACUGUUGAACUAGAGAGUAGAUGCGGUAGGCGGAAUGUAUGGUGUAGCGGUGAAAUGCUUAGAGAUCAUACAGAACACCGAUUGCGAAGGCAGCUUACCAAUCUAUAUCUGACGUUGAGGCACGAAAGCGUGGGGAGCAAACAGGAUUAGAUACCCCAGUAGUC
rnacentral:rRNA from 1 species